GGGCAAUUGGUCUAGGGGUAUGAUUUUCGCUUCGCAUUUCAUAGAUGCGGCUGUGAAAGGCCAUGGGUUCGAAUCCCAUAUUGUCCA